rnacentral:tRNA from 1 species
GAAAAAGUACUGCGAGAGCUGCUAACUCACGCUCCCACACCUAACAAUGUGGCUUUUUCA